rnacentral:lncRNA from 1 species
CAGUGGUGUGAGUAGUCCUUUGACCUAUGAUGUCAUUGGCUAUUUGUAGUGAGGCUACUGGAUUUGACUGCACAUUCUCUUGGUCUCUAGCCAUUUGGGUCCUUACUGUGUAUGUUGGCUUCAGUAGGUUCAGAUUCGCUGUUUGGAGUAGGAUGUACUUAGAUGGGAUCUAUCGAUCUUGGUAGAAAAAGAGUAGUCCUAUACGAUUUGUGAAGAGUUCAGAAAGU